rnacentral:rRNA from 1 species
AGAGUUUGAUCCUGGCUCAGAUUGAACGCUGGCGGCAUGCCUUACACAUGCAAGUCGUACGCGAAAGGGGGCAACCCCGAGUAGAGUGGCGAACGGGUGAGCAAUACAUCGGAACGUGUCCUGUAGCGGGGGACAACCUCGAGAAAUCGAGGCUAAUACCGCAUACGAUCUACGGAUGAAAGUGGGGGACCGCAAGGCCCCACACUAUAGGAGCGGCCGAUGCCGGAUUAGCUAGUUGGUGGGGUAACGGCCUACCAAGGCGACGAUCCGUAGCUGGUUUGAGAGAACGACCAGCCACACUGGGACUGAGACACGGCCCAGACUCCUACGGGAGGCAGCAGUGGGGAAUUUUGGACAAUGGGCGAAAGCCUGAUCCAGCCAUGCCGCGUGAGUGAAGAAGGCCUUCGGGUUGUAAAGCUCUUUCGGCGGGGACGAAAUAGCGCGGGGUAAUAUCCCGCGUCGAUGACGGUACCCGAAGAAGAAGGACCGGCUAACUACGUGCCAGCAGCCGCGGUAAUACGUAGGGUCCAAGCGUUAAUCGGAAUUACUGGGCGUAAAGCGUGCGUAGGCGGUCUCGCAAGUCCGAUGUGAAAUCCCCGAGCUUAACUUGGGAACUGCGUUGGAAACUAUGAGGCUAGAGUGCGGCAGAGGGGGGUGGAAUUCCAGGUGUAGCAGUGAAAUGCGUAGAGAUCUGGAGGAACACCGAUGGCGAAGGCAGCCCCCUGGGCCAGCACUGACGCUGAUACACGAAAGCGUGGGGAGCAAACAGGAUUAGAUACCCUAGUAGUCC